AUGCCACUGAAGACGAAGCCACAAAAAAUUCACUCACCGAACAACAUGUACCAGAGACGGUGGCAACGUCAACGAUUGAAAAGGGAGGAGACAAAUGAGCAAAAGGAGGCCAGUGAAGAAGGACAACAUGUUCUUCAAACGGCAGACAUCAACGUCACAGAAGACCAAGCCCCAAGAUAUUCACUCACCGAAAAACACGCAGCAGAGACAGCAGCAACGACAACGACUGAAAAGCUACAAGACAAAAACGACGGCAACAACGAUGAACUCCAAAAGAAAGAACAAGGAAAUGCCCAAAAACCUCCACUCAACAAAGAACAAGCACAACAGUCAGCAGCAGCAACGAGAACAAAAGCAGAGACAACAGAAGCAGCAACGACUGAGGAGGUCAGUGCCAACCAGGUCAAGACUGAAAAACAAGACGGAAAAGACCACCAGCAAGACAUGACGGUUGACAAGGAAAAACAUGAUGCUAAGAAAAGCACAGAUGACUCAAAUGAGGAUGGAGCAGAAACUGAACAAAAGGGCACAAAGGAGAAAGGGGGCAAAGAUAGUGAUUCCGUCAACAAAGCCAUCGAAGACCUGUACAACGCUGUAUGCAAGCCAUGGACAAAGAGAGAAAUGGAUGAGCUUUUCAUUACGACGGACAAGUUUGAUGUCUAUCUAGGCCAUGUCGCCCAAAGCUUCAAGGUCGGUAAAUCGGUAUGCAACGAAGCAAUCGAGCCCAUGCUAACAAUCUUGAGAAAACAACUCAAUGGCACAGGGCGAAAGAUUAUGUCAUUAAGCAACACUUUCCUUCUACCAUGUUCGUUGCGCGGGUUUGAGCAAGACGAAACUAUAAGUCAUUACUUCACCAUUACAGUUAACAUGCAAAAACAUCGCUUUGAACUCCUUGACUCUUCAACUGCACAUCCAUGCACAAUAUAA
rnacentral:rRNA from 1 species